AGAUUGAACGCUGGCGGCAUGCCUUACACAUGCAAGUCGAACGGCAGCACGGGAGCAAUCCUGGUGGCGAGUGGCGAACGGGUGAGUAAUAUAUCGGAACGUGCCCAGUCGUGGGGGAUAACGCAGCGAAAGCUGUGCUAAUACCGCAUACGAUCUAUGGAUGAAAGCGGGGGAUCGCAAGACCUCGCGCGAUUGGAGCGGCCGAUAUCAGAUUAGCUAGUUGGUGGGGUAAAAGCCUACCGAGGCGACGAUCUGUAGCUGGUCUGAGAGGACGACCAGCCACACUGGAACUGAGACACGGUCCAGACUCCUACGGGAGGCAGCAGUGGGGGAAUUUUGGACAAGUGGGCGAAAGCCUGAUCCA
rnacentral:rRNA from 1 species